AGGCAAGCUGUGGAAGGCUGGCCCAUCCAGGUCUCCUCCGCAGGGAGGAACGCAGGCAGGGGCGGUAACGGCUACCCAGGAGGACACAUUUUUUGAAGAUACAUCACUUUAGUGAGAAUACUUUUAUGAAGGAUUUGAUAUCCUUUGCUUAGCAGAGGUUCUCCAAAGACAGACAGGAGGUUCUUGUCAGCUGUUCCAUGGAUGACCGUAGAAUUGGACCACCAAGACUUGCGCAAGAUGAUUUUAAAAAGGAUUGCCAUGGAGAGAUCUCUCAUUCUCGAUGAAAGCUCUAGAUAUUUCUCUUCCUCAAACAUACCCUCCAUGGUAAGGAAAUUGUCACAGUUUAGAGGUGGUUUGAAGGAUAGCACUUCAUCUUCCAAAAUUCAGGGCAUUAGAGCACUCAAGCAAGAUUUGGUGCUAUGUCCUUAAAAAGGAGAAAAGAAGUAGGGUGCCAGUUUUGUGAACAUGAGCAAAAAGAUUGUU
rnacentral:lncRNA from 10 species